rnacentral:rRNA from 1 species
CUGGCCUUGACAUCCAGAGAACUUUCCAGAGAUGGUUUGGUGCCUUCGGGAACUCUGAGACAGGUGCUGCAUGGCCGUCGUCAGCUCGUGUCGUGAGAUGUUGGGUUAAGUCCCGUAACGAGCGCAACCCCUAUCCCUGGUUGCUAGCAGGUAAUGCUGAGAACUCCAGGGAGACUGCCGGUGACAAACCGGAGGAAGGUGGGGAUGACGUCAGGUCAUCAUGGCCCUUACGGCCAGGGCUACACACGUGCUACAAUGGCGCGUACAGAGGGCUGCCAACUCGCGAGAGUGAGCCAAUCCCUUAAAACGCGUCGUAGUCCGGAUCGGAGUCUGCAACUCGACUCCGUGAAGUCGGAAUCGCUAGUAAUCGCGAAUCAGAAUGUCGCGGUGAAUACGUUCCCGGGUCUUGUA